CUUUAGCUCAGUUGGUUAGAGCAGACGGCUCAUAACCGUCCGGUCGUAGGUUCGAGUCCUACAAGGUA
rnacentral:tRNA from 1 species